GGGCACUGCUUAAGUUCUUCCCGGGGUAGGAUACUGUUGAAAGUUGUGUUGUGUGCUAGACUGCUCAACUUUAAGUAGGUGAUGAUGUACCUUUGGAGCAAGCUUUGGAAGUUGAGGAAGACCCAGCCCUUAGUGCUUAGGAUUUCUACUAGCUCUUAUUUUAAACAGCUCUUUAUUUUGAAAGACUUCUAGCCUCCAUGUUAUCAUAAUCUGUAUUUUGGAGA
rnacentral:sRNA from 1 species